rnacentral:rRNA from 1 species
AUUGAACGCUGGCGGCAGGCCUAACACAUGCAAGUCGAACGAGUGGCGGACGGGUGAGUAAUGUCUGGGCAACUGCCCGAUGGAGGGGGAUCAACAAUGGAAACGGUAGACAAUAACGCAUACCAUCGGAUGUGCCCAGAUGGGAUUAGCUAGUAGGUGGGGUACCGGCUCACCUAGGCGACGAUCCCUAGCUGGUCUGAGAGGAUGACCAGCCACACGGGAACUGAGACACGGUCCGGACUCCUACGGGAGGCAGCAGUGGGGAAUAUUGCACAAUGGUCGCAAGCCGGAUGCAGCCAUGCCGCGUGUAUGAAGAAGGCCUUCGGGUUGUAAAGUACUUUCAGCGAGGAGGCGUUACUCGCAGAAGAAGCACCGGCUAACUCCGUGCCAGCAGCCGCGGUAAUUC